CUAAUACAUGCAAGUAGAACGCUGAAGGAGGAGCUUGCUCUUUCCGGAUGAGUUGCGAACGGGUGAGUAACGCGUAGGUAACCUGCCUGGUAGCGGGGGAUAACUAUUGGAAACGAUAGCUAAUACCGCAUAACAGUAGAUAUUGCAUGAUAUCUGCUUGAAAGAUGCAAUUGCAUCACUACCAGAUGGACCUGCGUUGUAUUAGCUAGUUGGUGAGGUAACGGCUCACCAAGGCGACGAUACAUAGCCGACCUGAGAGGGUGAUCGGCCACACUGGGACUGAGACACGGCCCAGACUCCUACGGGAGGCAGCAGUAGGGAAUCUUCGGCAAUGGGGGGAACCCUGACCGAGCAACGCCGCGUGAGUGAAGAAGGUUUUCGGAUCGUAAAGCUCUGUUGUAAGAGAAGAACGAGUGUGAGAGUGGAAAGUUCACACUGUGACGGUAUCUUACCAGAAAGGGACGGCUAACUACGUGCCAGCAGCCGCGGU
rnacentral:rRNA from 2 species